rnacentral:rRNA from 1 species
CAGCACCACAAGUGGUCAGGAUGAUUAUUGGGCCUAAAGCAUCCGUAGCCGGCGCUGUAAGUUUUCGGUUAAAUCUGUACGCUCAACGUACAGGCUGCCGGGAAUACUGCAGCGCUAGGGAGUGGGAGAGGUAGACGGUACUCGGUAGGAAGGGGUAAAAUCCUUUGAUCUAUUGAUGACCACCUGUGGCGAAGGCGGUCUACCAGAACACGUCCGACGGUGAGGGAUGAAAGCUGGGGGAGCAAACCGGAUUAGAUACCCGAGUAGUCC